rnacentral:rRNA from 1 species
AUACGGAGGGUGCAAGCGUUAAUCGGAAUUACUGGGCGUAAAGCGCGCGUAGGCGGUAAGGUCAGUUGGAUGUGAAAGCCCCGGGCUCAACCUGGGAACUGCAUUCGAUACUGCCUGACUAGAGUAUGGUAGAGGGAAGUGGAAUUUCCGGUGUAGCGGUGAAAUGCGUAGAUAUCGGAAGGAACACCAGUGGCGAAGGCGGCUUCCUGGACCAAUACUGACGCUGAGGUGCGAAAGCGUGGGGAGCAAACAGGAUUAGAAACCCCAGUAGUCC